rnacentral:lncRNA from 1 species
GGCGAGCCCUCACUAGAAACCAACCCUGCAGGCACCUCCAUGUUGGACUUCUAGUUUCCAAAGCUGUGAGAAAGUGCAUAUCUGUUGUUUAAAUCAUCCAGCCUAAGUCCAGAGAGCCAAAUGAGUGUGGUGACGUUAUUUCCGGCCUCGUCAGCAUGUGUGUGAUCAACACGAUCACACAGAAGACCGCCGCAUCCAAGAAAGGAGCAAGGAACACAAAGACAUACUUCAGACUGAUUGAACAGAAGGCAAAAUUUUCAACGGACAUGAUAAUGCAACACUUCCAACAUGGAUACAUUUGUUAUAGGCCGAAAAGCUGCAUCAUAUAAUGAAAGGAACAGAAGGCACUUUCCUUCGGAAUGAUCCAAGUUGCUGGUUACGCAUCGUCCUUCUUCCUGCACUUGAAUGUUCUCUAAAAGAACUUUUAAACUCCACGAAAGAUCAAUAUUUGACAAUCUUAGUGAUAUUUUACUGAUACCAAAAAGGAAAACAAAAGCAUUGAGGGGUUACAUAAAAGAGUAACUUCUGUCUUUCCGGCAAGCUCUCCUUUGGUGGCUUUGAUAAAGCUAUAUGGAGAAGUCCGUGCAGGAAGAACUGAGAGCAGCUCUGGCCGAUGUCCAAAAAGCCACUGAGACCCUCAGUCCAACAGUCCACAAGAACUAAAUCCUGCCAACACUCAGAGCUGGUGAGUGGAUCCUUCCCCAACUGAGCCUUUGGAUGAGACCCUGGCUGACACCUUGACUGCAGCCUCGUGAGAUCUUACAGCAAAGAACUCAGCUAAGUCAUGACCAGAUUCUUGAAAACUGAGACAAUAAAUAAAAAAAUAAACUAUGUUGACCUAAGC